rnacentral:lncRNA from 1 species
AUGCACCGGCUGGUCUGCCUGGGCCGUCGACUCAACUUGAUGCGUUUUGCCGAAGAGGCGCCAGGAAGCCCGCCGGGGCCGGACAAAAACUUGUCGAAUACGAAGGACGACGACCCGAAGAUCGUCGGGUCAAGUAUAGCUAAGGUAAUUUUCGACGGGGACAAGCUCGUGACUCUACAUCAAGGUCACGUCCAUCAUAAAGGUGUUUCAGACGUGUUGAUCGGGGGCGUCAAUGUAACGGUCGGAGAACGGUCUGAAGUUGUGGAAGUCACCGCCGAAGAGUAUCCGGGACGGAAAGUGAAUAUCGAAAUCUAUAAAGCCGCCAAACCUGUGGAACCGCCCAAAGAAGCAACUCCACCCCCUCAGAAUACUGGAGUAUAUACAGAUAGGGUUUAUAGAAGCUACGCGCGGGAUUACCGGAUCAAAGAUAGCAACGAAGGACAAAGCAUUGAUCCCUCUGUUUUUUGUAGUUCUCAGUUGGGUGAAACAAUCGAACCGCUGGGUGGUGGUGAGUUGACUAUCACUGUCGAAAACGUAGAGGUGCCCAGUUCCAGCAACGCUACCAACGAAGAUCCACUCACGAAUGGAGUUUCACCGAACCCCUCCGAAAACGCAGAAUGUGAUACAACUCAAGAUAGGACGCCGUCGGCUCUCUCGCACAAUUCCAACGCGGAAAGCGACACUCCCGCCCCGAGCGAGGCUUCCUCUAGCAAUGACAACAACCAAUCCUUGUCAUCCACCACCUCCGAAACCCCCGUCGAAAACAAGAAGAUCCUUUUAACUACCGACAUGGUCAAAGAAGAGACAUUCAGGAAACGGAAGAGGAAGCCGCCCCCGGAACCUGAGGAACCUGUUGAGAAGAUGUCCUUAGCGGAGAUCCUGGAGGCCGUCGAGUCAUGCAGCCCGGCCGUGCGAAUACCGCGCAAGCCCGGCAUCAAAACGGAAGACCGCUACGUCGAGAACAUCUACAAGGCCCACGAACUGCCGGAGAGGACCCUUCUGGCCCUGAAGGCGCACGGUCUGCCGCGGGUCAUCAAAAAGCCUCGCCUGCUGAGUGAAACUAUCUCGCAAGCGAUGUCCCUCCGCGGGCACGGUUCCGAAACCGGUUUCACGUGCAAGACCUGCGACGCCGAGUUCGUCUUCAAGUACGACCUGAUACGUCACGAGCGCACCGCCCACGCCGUCGCUCUCAAGUGCACCCAGUGCUCCUUCACGUUCACCAAAAAGGAGGAACUCGCCCAGCACACCCUGGAGACCCACUUCCGGCGGACUGGGCCUCGGAUCGGCAAGGGGCUCGGUCUCAUCGAAAGCCUCCUGGCCAAGAAGAAAGCGGUGAUGCCCGUGCCGCCUGGCAGCGCGCUUCCCGUAGCGCCCGACUCAAUGCCCGAACAGAACUUCUCAUGCGAGAACUGUGAUGCCAAUUUCGCCUACGAGGCCGAGCUGAACCACCACAUGCGAAUCCACGGGACCGAAUUCAAGUGCAACGCCUGCAAGGCCUCUUUCAGGAGAAAAGCGCACUGGCCAAACAUAUGCUCUCCGUCCAUUUCUAGGGUCCGUCAACGGUGGAUCUUGAGUCUUCGCAAGGAUUCCACCUCGAGGAACAAUUCGUUUCUUUGCAACCACUGUUCUUAUUGA